rnacentral:rRNA from 1 species
GGAAACCGAGUCUUAACCGGGCGUUAAGUUGCAGGGUAUAGACCCGAAACCCGGUGAUCUAGCCAUGGGCAGGUUGAAGGUUGGGUAACACUAACUGGAGGACCGAACCGACUAAUGUUGAAAAAUUAGCGGAUGACCUGUGGCUGGGGGUGAAAGGCCAAUCAAACCGGGAGAUAGCUGGUUCUCCCCGAAAGCUAUUUAGGUAGCGCCUCGUGAAUUCAUCUCCGGGGGUAGAGCACUGUUUCGGCUAGGGGGCCAUCCCGGCUUACCAACCCGAUGCAAACUGCGAAUACCGGAGAAUGUUAUCACGGGAGACACACGGCGGGUGCUAACGUCCGUCGUGAAGAGGGAAACAACCCAGACCGCCAGCUAAGGUCCCAAAGUCAUGGUUAAGUGGGAAACGAUGUGGGAAGGCCCAGACAGCCAGGAUGUUGGCUUAGAAGCAGCCAUCAUUUAAAGAAAGCGUAAUAGCUCACUGGUCGAGUCGGCCUGCGCGGAAGAUGUAACGGGGCUAAACCAUGCACCGAAGCUGCGGCAGCGACACUCAGGUGUUGUUGGGUAGGGGAGCGUUCUGUAAGCCUGUGAAGGUGGCCUGUGAGGGUUGCUGGAGGUAUCAGAAGUGCGAAUGCUGACAUAAGUAACGAUAAAGCGGGUGAAAAGCCCGCUCGCCGGAAGACCAAGGGUUCCUGUCCAACGUUAAUCGGGGCAGGGUGAGUCGACCCCUAAGGCGAGGCCGAAAGGCGUAGUCGAUGGGAAACGGGUUAAUAUUCCCGUACUUGGUGUUACUGCGAAGGGGGGACGGAGAAGGCUAUGUUGGCCGGGCGACGGUUGUCCCGGUUUAAGCGUGUAGGUGUGUGUUCCAGGUAAAUCCGGUUCACUUUAACACUGAGGCGUGAUGACGAGGCGCUACGGUGCUGAAGCAACAAAUGCCCUGCUUCCAGGAAAAGCCUCUAAGCAUCAGGUAACAUCAAAUCGUACCCCAAACCGACACAGGUGGUCAGGUAGAGAAUACCAAGGCGCUUGAGAGAACUCGGGUGAAGGAACUAGGCAAAAUGGUGCCGUAACUUCGGGAGAAGGCACGCUGACACGUAGGUGAAGUGAUUUACUCAUGGAGCUGAAGUCAGUCGAAGAUACCAGCUGGCUGCAACUGUUUAUUAAAAACACAGCACUGUGCAAACACGAAAGUGGACGUAUACGGUGUGACGCCUGCCCGGUGCCGGAAGGUUAAUUGAUGGGGUCAGCGCAAGCGAAGCUCCUGAUCGAAGCCCCGGUAAACGGCGGCCGUAACUAUAACGGUCCUAAGGUAGCGAAAUUCCUUGUCGGGUAAGUUCCGACCUGCACGAAUGGCGUAAUGAUGGCCAGGCUGUCUCCACCCGAGACUCAGUGAAAUUGAACUCGCUGUGAAGAUGCAGUGUACCCGCGGCAAGACGGAAAGACCCCGUGAACCUUUACUAUAGCUUGACACUGAACAUUGAGCCUUGAUGUGUAGGAUAGGUGGGAGGCUUUGAAGUGUGGACGCCAGUCUGCAUGGAGCCGACCUUGAAAUACCACCCUUUAAUGUUUGAUGUUCUAACGUGGACCCGUGAUCCGGGUUGCGGACAGUGUCUGGUGGGUAGUUUGACUGGGGCGGUCUCCUCCUAAAGAGUAACGGAGGAGCACGAAGGUUGGCUAAUCCUGGUCGGACAUCAGGAGGUUAGUGCAAUGGCAUAAGCCAGCUUGACUGCGAGCGUGACGGCGCGAGCAGGUGCGAAAGCAGGUCAUAGUGAUCCGGUGGUUCUGAAUGGAAGGGCCAUCGCUCAACGGAUAAAAGGUACUCCGGGGAUAACAGGCUGAUACCGCCCAAGAGUUCAUAUCGACGGCGGUGUUUGGCACCUCGAUGUCGGCUCAUCACAUCCUGGGGCUGAAGUAGGUCCCAAGGGUAUGGCUGUUCGCCAUUUAAAGUGGUACGCGAGCUGGGUUUAGAACGUCGUGAGACAGUUCGGUCCCUAUCUGCCGUGGGCGCUGGAGAACUGAGGGGGGCUGCUCCUAGUACGAGAGGACCGGAGUGGACGCAUCACUGGUGUUCGGGUUGUCAUGCCAAUGGCACUGCCCGGUAGCUAAAUGCGGAAGAGAUAAGUGCUGAAAGCAUCUAAGCACGAAACUUGCCCCGA